UGCGUCUCUUGGCCUUGGGAA
rnacentral:sRNA from 1 species